AAAGAAAGGUUGCUGAGGCUUUGACUGUUUCCAAGGAAGUAGUCAAAGAAAGUCAUUAGAGUUCAUUGCAGGGAAUGUAGUAAAACAGUUUAAAAAUAAAAACUAUAACUGGGACAAAAGAGAAUGUGAGAUGUGUUGUGUAGAAUUUUUUUUAACAUAAACCAAUUAGUGGAUUAACAUAGGUAAAUAACAGUUACCACAAAAUUAGCAACAAAUGUUUGCUUAAUUACUUAGGCAAACUCCAAUGAUUGGAUUAGCGCAGGUAUGUAUGGUUUUAGUUAUAUAAGACUACAAUUAAAUUUGGAUUAUAUAUUAUUAGUUUUAAAAAGUAUUGUAAUGUUGUAAAUUGUAAUUAUUUGAUAUGUGCAGAAUCAAUUCUCACAUCCGCAUGAUUUGCAGGGUCAACAUCAAAAAAAAAUAUCAGUCUACGGAGGUUGGCAAUUUCAGUGACCUUUUAGGGGCAAAUAUUUUUUGUCUGGAUUCCGAGAUAUUUAAUAUUUGACGAUGAUAUCAUAUUACUUUUCGGUUUGUUAUAUGAAUCUCAACAAUCUCCUUCCCUACAACAAAGGUUAAAAGGAUUUCAAGAGAAAUUGGAGGUGUCUUUUAUGGAAUUUCAAUCUUGGACCUUACAUGGGAACCAAUUCAUUUCUGAAAUAAGUUCUCAGCUCUAGGAUUUCACGUAUGUAAGUUUUUAGUUAUGGAAACUUAGUUAUCAAAUUUGCUUUAGGCUUCACUAUCUGUAAUUCUAUGAUAUUAGUAGCUAUAGUUUAUCCAAAUGAAAAUUUUAUAAUGUUUGCUUC